AAUGGGCGAAAGCCUGAUCCAGCCAUGCCGCGUGAGUGAUGAAGGCCCUAGGGUUGUAAAGCUCUUUCGCCAGGGAAGAUAAUGACGGUACCUGGUAAAGAAACCCCGGCUAACUCCGUGCCAGCAGCCGCGGUAAUACGGAGGGGGUUAGCGUUGUUCGGAAUUACUGGGCGUAAAGCGCACGUAGGCGGAUUAAUAAGUCAGGGGUGAAAUCCCGAGGCUCAACCUCGGAACUGCCUUUGAUACUGUUAGUCUUGAGUUCGAGAGAGGUGAGUGGAAUUCCGAGUGUAGAGGUGAAAUUCGUAGAUAUUCGGAGGAACACCAGUGGCGAAGGCGGCUCACUGGCUCGAUACUGACGCUGAGGUGCGAAAGCGUGGGGAGCAAACAGAAUU
rnacentral:rRNA from 1 species